UAUUCUAUAGUGUAUACAUUAAGGAAUCAUCAAGGUAGCACUAUGAUCCUAACCUUUAAUCGUACCCUUCUACCAAGGCAUCUUCUGAUCUGAGUUAAACCCGACUGUUCCUUUGUCAAAUGUAAAGUAUAUUCUCCCUGGUUUAUAACUAUCUUGACUAGAAAAUAGAUCAACUUUCAAGUGUUACCGACACUUUAUGAAAGUAAUGGGGGAAGUAAGUACACAAAUGUCGUUUAUAAUGACAUGCGGAUGCACUAUUAACCUAAAAACAUAUUUGUUUUAUUACGGUCAUAAUGUGAAAGCUAGAAUCUCUUACUAAACGCUCUCAAUGUAAAGAGAUUGAGGGAACCAAACGCGACCCCAGCAAAUCCAUACAAGCCGUGUAAUUCACAUUAAAGUUAUAUGAUCAUGUAUACCCAAUAUAACUAUCACUAAUGCGUUAAUGAUUCAUUGGUAUAAUUAGAUCCUGUCUGUGUGUUAUCAUGCUAUAGCAACCUAACUUGUUUUUUAUGUUUUGUUCUGGUAUUGUUUGAUUCUCUUCACUGUUUGUUCUGUUCUGAUAUUGUUUGAUUCUCUUCACUGUUUGUUCUGUUCUGAUAUUGACUCUUUGUGUGCUUCAUUAUACUAGAAGUAAUGAAUAGCAUUCUCCUAAACUAUACCUAUAAUAGUUUACUAAUGCUCUACUUGGACUGUUACUGAAAUGACUCAUUUCNNNNNNNNNNNNNNNNNNNNNNNNNNNNNNNNNNNNNNNNNNNNNNNNNNNNNNNNNNNNNNNNNNNNNNNNNNNNNNNNNNNNNNNNNNNNNNNNNNNNNNNNNNNNNNNNNNNNNNNNNNNNNNNNNNNNNNNNNNNNNNNNNNNNNNNNNNNNNNNNNNNNNNNNNNNNNNNNNNNNNNNNNNNNNNNNNNNNNNNNNNNNNNNNNNNNNNNNNNNNCUAUAUGAAAGGAAACACCUUCCGGGACUAGGAAACACCUUGACCAAGUGUUGGAAUCACAUGUGAUUCAACAUAGGAAGGUAUAAAGGCACUCACAUGAGUUUACUACCAUGAGUUCACGGCCCAAGGGAGUUUACGGCCGUAAACUCAUGGCUACUCAUUUGGGAAUGCAAGUUUGAAGGCUAGGGAAUGAUUUAGGGACAUUAGCUCUAGCCUAGGAUGAGAAAGACCACAUUCUUUGGAGUUUAAGAGGAGUUCAUGGGCCAAAUGAGUUUACCAUCGUAAACUCAUGGCCAUUUAUGCUUAUGAGGGUCCUAAAGGUCAUGAGAAAGCAUUCUAAAUUCAAGCCUAAGCCUUAGGAAGUGUUUGUGGCAUCAAAACACCUCUAUCUUGAGUUUACGGCCCAUGGACCAUUUGGUCAUAAGCUUGUGUCCGUAAACACCUAUGGGUGUUGGUAUUUUGGUUGCUUUGGGUCCUAGACACAUCAAGGUAAAGUGCUAUGCUUGUCUCUUGGCUUAUGGAAGGCAUUUAGGGCAUUUUGGCACCCUAAAAUGGAGUUCACGGCCCAAGAACUUCUUUGGCCAUGAACUCACUUCUAGUCUUUGUUUCUUAAUGAUUUUGUGGUCUAAACAUGUCAUGGUAGUUUCUAGGUUUAGUUCCAAGGCUUGGAGGGACAUUGGGCACACUUUGGCCCUCAAAAUUAGUGUUCACGGUCCAAGAAGAUCUUGGGCCGUGAACACCAUUUCCUUGGUGUUUUGGCUUGAUUUUCAUGUUAUUAAGGCAUAUAACACACUUAUAUACACUCUAGGUUGAAAUACUUACAGUUGGGGGUGAUCGGGCGAAGAUCCUUGAGAGAGAAAUCAGCUUUUCUCUAGCUGGAAAUGCAACUAAUGAAUAAAUAUGGUCAAGAACCAUAUAUAUACCCCUAGGGUUUUGGCAAAAAAAAAUUUAUUCAAGGAUUGAAUUCUAAUAUCAAUGAGCUUUGGAAAAACAGAGUUACACAAUACCCUUGUGGAACCUCUCUCCUGAAAUAUCCUUAAGUGUAAAUCCUGAAAUGCUCAAACUUAUCUCAAAAGUUUGAAAGUUAGCAGAACGGAUUUGACUUCACUUGUUGUGGAUGGUUUUACAGAAUGGAAACUCUUGGGUUGUCACAUCAUCACCCCGUUAGAAUGAAUUUCAUCCCGAAAUUAGCUCUCUUAACCUUACUACAAGGUUUGAGCUCUUCUGCUUUGUAAAAUACUCACUCGUAGACCUGGCAACUUUUCCAUGGUGUUCUUGAUAGGAUUCAUACUUGGUCCAUCUAUCUUUACUUCGUGUAUACAAGCCGUAUAUAGUUAGGAUUAGUAGGACUGUCGGAUGUGCGACUCUGCCCCAGGUCCACAACCCAACGGAGAAUAGGAGAUAGGGCGGAAACACACAUACUAGAUUUGCGUAAUCAUACUCAUAUACCACCCUCGCGUAUACACUAAAUAAUAAUAGGUGGGUUGUGUUCGUCCUAAGCCUCUGUGCUAGAACUUGGUCUGCUGGACGAGUGGUAUUUCGUGACGGUCUGCGGAUGUCUGACGAUAAGGCUUCGGAGGACAAAGUACUCUUCACACGAGUACUUCGGGGGUUUAGAAUUGCGAAAGAUAAAAUUUUUGAUUUAGGUUGGACUUUCCAUACGAAUGAUGAAAGUUUCGAGAACUUGCCGAUCGAGGCGAUAGAAACAUAUGACCUCAGUAUGGUGAGCACCAUGCCAACUCAUGAUGAAAUAAAACAACGAACUCUAUACCGAACAAAUUUUUGGUCAAAUGAAAGAAACAUCUGAUAAACGACGAUGUAUCCCUGGUAUGCUUGGUACUGUACUCCUAGUAUGUUCAACAAUGUACUCCUUGUACUGUUCUCGAGUUUUCCGGUUUUCUAUUUUGAAAUUAACACUCCUAUGUAUCGUACCGCUAUGUGCGCAUACAUGCAAAUAAAAGUGCUUUACUUACUGAAGGGAUGCUUUUAUAUCAUGAUCCCCCAUGGUACCACUACUAUCGCCCGUCAUAUACAAGUUGUGAAUACUUAAGAUGAGCCAGGCAGUCGACUGAGCAUCUCUGCCUCAAAUCCUCAAACAAUUAAGGAAAAGGGGACCUAAGCGGAGUCACUCACUCUAAGUCUACAACAUCUCAGUUGCGCACAACCCUGAUGUAUAUGGUGAGUCAUAAUAGCUUCUCUAAGGGAUCUUUUAGUUCUCUUGAAUAUUACGACCUAUUUCAACAUGUGAGUUGUUAUUGUUACUUUUAAGUGUCAUUCCCAAAUUUUAAUCUUAUAUGCAUAUAAAUUAAUUUUAAAAGUAAAUACUAUUUUGAGAAUGUACCACUACUUGUCGACGACUCCUGGGUAGAUUCUCCUGCGGUGAUCAUCAUAAUACGUCGAUCCGCGCUUGAGUUCUUGAUUAUUGGGCAGUCCCUCUGAUUGUGUCCAGUCUCACCACAGCCAUAGCAGGCUUGGUCUACUUCAGCUCCGAGGACUUGGGAGAUCGGUUGAGCCGGUGCCCUGCAGUAACGGACUGUGAGUCCUUUUCAGUGGCAGUUCAGACACUGCAUUUCCCGGCACACUCCUGUGUGGUGAAAGUUGCACUUUCCACACUUUGGAAGGUUUCCAGCAUAACGACUGGCAGAUGCUGAAGCAGUAGGCGUCGCAGCGGCGUACAUAGUACUCGCUUGUUGCUCUUGCGGGGUGUCUUGUGUUGUUCGCUUCUUCUUUUUCUUGUUCUCCGACUCUUGAUAUAGUCCUCUUCCCUUGAUGACCCGGGAAUAGGGACUUUUAUGCUGUGGCGGACUCCAUGAUCGAUGAGUCGUUGAGCCAAGCGUUUAUGUCACACCCUAAAAACCGAAGGCGGAAACAUUUCCGGCGCGGACUCCACGUUGAGUAUCAAAUCCAAUGUACAUAGUAAGCAAGUAAACAAACAUUACAUUACAUAUUAGAAUUUACAUAUGUUCAAAAGUAAAGUGUUACAAGUGAUGAUACAUAUGUAUAUAUAUAUAUAUAUAUAUAUAUAGAGAGAGAGAGAGAGAGAGAGAGACAAAAGAAGAGACAAAAGAAGAGACGAGUCUUCUGUACGCUCCGUCUUCUCCAAAAAGGAUCGUUGGGUACCUGUCUAAAAUGGACCUGAGAAUACAAGCAGUUUGAAAAUCAGCAUAAAGCUGGUGAGUUCACAAGUGGUUUUGUUUUGAAAAGAAUGAGUUCCUUUGUUUUCUGAAAAAGUUGUUAUCCAAGAAAAGCCUAUAUUUUCUUUUGUAAAAUAGUUAGUUAUCAUUUGUUACCAAUUCGAUUACAUGUUGUAUGUUACCCCAGGAAAAUCCCAUAUUUUCCUAAUAGUUUAGUUAUUGAACUCCAAUGUAAUAUUUGAUUAUCUAUUAUACUUGUCAUAUUAGCUAGGUAUUCAGAUAUCCUAAUUGUGUUACACUUGAAUGUACCUAGAUGUGUGCCUUCAUAUUCAUAUUCUUAUUCAUAUUCGUAUAUUAUAUUUGUAUUCAUAUUCUUAUUUAUAUUUGUGCUCCUAUACAUAUUCGUAUUCGUAUUCGUAUUUGCAUUAGUAUUCGUAUUCCUAGUCCUAUCCCUAAUCCUAUUCGUAUUCGUAUUCGUAUUCGCAUUCGUAUUCGCAUUCAUAUUCGCAUUCGUAUUCGUAUUCCUAUUCCUAUUCUUAUUCCUAUUCCUAAUCAUAUUCGUAUUCGUAUUCGCAUUCGUAUUCGUAUUCCUAUCCCUAUUCCUAUUCCUAUUCCUAAUCCUAUUUGUAUUCGUAUUCGUAUUCGCAUUUGUAUUCGCAUUCGUAUUCCUACUUUAGUAUUCCUAUUCGUUCUGUUCCUAGUUUAUACUUUCGUACUCGUUCUAUUCUUGGUUGUACUUUCGUAUUCGUUUUGUUCCUAGUUGUACUUUCGUAUUCGCUCUGUUCCUAGUUGUACUUUCGUAUUCGCUCUGUUCCUAUUUGUACUUUCGUAUUCGUUCUGUUCCUAGUUGUACUUUCGUAUUCGCUCUGUUCCUAGUUGUACUUUCGUAUUCGCUCUGUUCCUAGUUGUACUUUCGUAUUCGCUCUGUUCCUAGUUGUACUUUCGUAUUCGUUCUGUUCCUAGUUGUACUUUCGUAUUCGCUCUGUUCCUAGUUGUACUUUCAUAUUCGCUCUGUUCCUAGUUGUACUUUCGUAUUCGUAUUCGUAUUAGUUCUAAUUGAUGAUUAGUAUGAAUUAUUCGCAGAUUAUGAAAUAUAAUAUAGAUUGUAACACUUUAUCAAGAAAUCUAUGAUUAGUUUGAAAACUAUCUCUGCAAUUCGAACCAUUAGUUAACACGAUUUUUGAUAUGAAAAGUAUAAAUAGUGUAAAACAUUUGAACUGAAAAUAAUAAGUUUAAGUACAAGAUUUCCUUGGACUUUUGCUUGUAUUCCCCCCUAAAAACAUUUGAAAAACACGGAAAAAGGGUAGGGGUAUGAACUCACCGGUUGAGGAAUGCGUCGGUUUGGAUCCUAAACGUCAGUUCUGGGUUUGAAAACACACAAGAUUCCUAUGUAUUAUGAAAAGAUACACAUUUUUAUCUAAUUAGAACUUAAAUUAUUUAUUAGAUGAGAACAUAUGCUUCUAGAUGCGAAAACACUUCAUUGCAAGUGUUUGGAAGGACCCGGGUGGCAUUUGAGGACACAUAAGGCGUGGAUAUGGAGUUUACUCUUCAAGAGUAAACUCUUAGAGGAGUUUUUGGCCCUAAACAACAUAUUCACAUGAGUUCACGGCCGUGAACUCAUGGAUGGGAGUUUUAUGGUGCUAAAUGGCCUUGAAAUACUUAGGGAUUAAAUCUAGGUUUGAGUCUAAUGCAUUGGAAAGGGAUUUAACUCACAUAUGGACCAUUUAUUGGAGUUUAAGGUAGUAAACUUGGAGUUUACAGCCGUAAACUCCCCUCAAACUAAAUCCUUGAUGUUUUGGUGGUCCUUAAUUAAUCACAUGUGAUUUCAAGCUAUUUUACAAGUCUAGGGGUAAAAUUUGGGCACCAUUUGACAUAAUUCUAGGAGUUUACGGCCCAAGACUCCUUCUUAUGCCAUGAACUCCUUAGGGGGGUGAUUUUCUUAUGUUUUAGACUUCUAAGUUGUUUGUGGUUGAUUUUAGAAUUUAUUCAAAGGCUAUUGGUGUGUUUAAAUGGCAUUUUAACACUUCAAAAUGAGUUUACUCCCCAUGAUAUGGAGCUUACGGCCCAAGCAUGUUCUUGGGCAGUAAACUCAUGUUUACUCUCCAAAAAUUAAGUUCAAGGUGUUCUAAGUCCAUUUUGGUAAGUCCCUAAGUCAUAUCUAAGCUCCAAAGGUCGAUUGGAAGGGUUUUUGGGCUCCAAAACCCAUUUUAUAUGAGUUCACGGCCUAGGACUGUUCUAGGGCCGUAAACUCAUGAAUAUGGUCCUAUUUCAUGAUUUAAACUCGAAAAUGAAGGCUAAAGAUGAUAUACUAGGAGUUAGGGAAGAUACCUUGAUGAUUAGAAGCCUUAAUUUGAUGAUUUAGGACCCUUAGAGUUGAUUUGAGGAGAGAGGUUGGAGAGAGAGUAGUGAGAGAGAGGAAAGGCUUCAAAUGAAGUCUUUUGAGCUUUAAAUAGGUCCUAAAUUCGGGACAUGGUGAAAUUCUACCCGAUACAGACGUUAAACGGGGCUUUUGGUUGCACCCGAUUAAGUUAUUUUUAUAACUUGACGGAAUAAAACAAUUAUUUUUCAAAUAAAUAAAUUGAAGCAUUUCCAUGGAUUUUUAACGUAUUUGGACAAUUCUUAAGUCAUAAUUACAAAAUUAAAAUAAAUGACUUAAUUUAGAAACGAAUGGAAACAAUUUAAGACGAUGAAUUUUUAAUGACGUAUCAGGUUACGACGACGGAACGAACUUCGGGUUGUCACAUUAUCCCCCCGUUAGAGUGAAUUUCGUCUUGAAAUUCAAACUUUAGAUGUGACUCAAGGAUUUGGAAAGAGAUACGGAUAUUUCUACUUUGUUGGAUUUUUGCGCUCUCAAGUGAAUUCGAGUUCUAGUGUGGCUUUCCGGCGAAUCUUCACUGUUGGGAUAUGACUUUGUUUCGUACGCUAGUCUCUCGAUUUAGGAUUUCGAUUGGUUCUACCAUGGGGUUCAGACUUUCGUUGAUUUCUGUUGGAUUAGUGUCUAAGUCCAUAACUAUUUUGGUAUGUACUUGACCCGAUGGUGCAUGGUCCUUUUGGGUUGCCUUCACCAAAGCAACUUGAUAGGAUGAAUUAUGGAGAGAAAGGAUUAAAUAUGAUUUAUUAAUAUAUUAUGAGAAUAAUAUAUUAAAGGAGAAAUCAUAUUGUUUAAUUAAUAUUAGUCAAGAAUUAAUAAGAAUUAAGUUUGUGACUAAAAGAGAUUAAUUAAACUUAAUGGACUAGAAUUGUAAUUAUAAGAUAAUUGCAAUUGGGCUAUGGAUUGCCUUAUAUUAUAAGGUUGGACGAAUUCUAUGGGGAAACCCAUUAGAAAUCGUCCAAGGCCUUUAAGGAAAGGAGUCCAUGGGUUGCUUAGGGCUUAAGCAUCCAAAUUAGGGUUUCCUUGUUAGAUAACCCUAAUAGCCUCACUAUAUAAAGAGCCCUUAUGCCUCAAAAACGUGGACAAGCUUCCUUCUAGGGUUUCCACACGUUUUGGGCAGCCUCCUUCUCUUCUCUUCUUCAUCCUCUUGCUCUUGGUGUUUGUGAACCAUUAGAGGAGUGACAUUUGUGACUCUAAGCUUUCUAAAGUCAAUACAAGAAGGAUUUGAGAUUGUUAUUGCUACAUAACAAUCAAGGUAUGAUCUAAACCCUAAUUAUAUGUUAUAUUGAUUAUCAUAUGCUAGAUCUAGGGUUUAUAGUCUUGGAUAAAUUGCAUGUACAAUAGAGAAACCUAGAUCCAAGCAUUAGGGUUUGUAUGAGCACAUAGGAUGUUCUUAUGACCAAAACCCAUCAGUGGUAUCAGAGCCUAGAUUGGUUUCUAUUGUAUUGAUGCCUUGUAUGUUGAAAAAAUUCGAUUUUUGUGGUUCUGCUUGAUGGACUCGGCGAGUCCCACUGUGGACUCGGCGAGUUGCCCCUACUCGGCGAGUCCAUGGGGGUACUCGGCGAGUUCGAGCGUCAGAUGGAGCUAUUUUCGGGAUUUCUUGCUGUUUAUCUUUGAGAUACUUGCCUUUAUCAUAUUAGAUCAAUAUAAAUCCGAUUUUAUGAUAUAUAUGAGUAUAUUCUUGAUCUAAUUGAAGAUAUUUAUCAAUUAAUAAAAUAUUUGUUUCCUUAUGUGAUAAUUGAUUAAUUAUUUUGAUUAAAUUGGUAAAUUGUUUUGCAAGAAAUCAUUAAAUAAAUCAAAUAUGGAUAAUUAUGUGAUUAAAUGUUAAUUUAGAUUAUUUGUUAUUUGAUCCUUGUGUUAUGAAAAGUUUCAUAUUUUCCCCUUUAGGUUUUAUAGUUUAAAUUUGAACUCAAAAGUUUAGUUUUGAAAUUUAAAUAGUUGAAACCCUAAUGUUUUGAAAAGGUUUCAAAACUUGCCCUCAAGUUUUGGAAUUUAAAUUUUGAUUAAAAGUUUAAUUUUGAUGUAUAUUUAAAUUCUAAACCCUAAUGUUUUGAAAUGUUUCAAAACUUGCCCUCAAGUUUUGGAAUUUAAAAGUUGAUUAAAAGUUUAAUUAGGAAUGUUAAAUUCUAAAACCCUAGUAUUGUUUUGAAAAAGUUCAAAUCACACCCUUAUGGUUUUAUUAAUUAAUUAAGGUGUAUAAUUAAAAGAGGUUUAAUAAAUCCAUAAAAGUUUUGGUUUACAAUUUAAUUGAAUUAAAAGUAUAAUUGUUAAAUUUGACCACCUAGUAUUUUAAAAGUGUAAAAUACACCCUAUACUAUAUAUAACAUUAAAAGUCUAACAUUAUAUAUAUGUAUGAGUAAAAGUCAGUCUUACCGUUAGUAGGCCUCAUUCACGAAGCUAGUCUAUAAGGGGUGUUUAAGGAAAUUGCCUAUAAAAUGGCGAUUGAAUGGGUAUCCACUCUUACCCACCGCACUCUUGACUAGUGGAGGGUCGUUAGCCGAACGGGUAGGAUAGGACGAAACCUUCCAUUAUAAGUAUAAUGAAUUACUAAAGUAACUAAAUGUUUUCAUAAAAUUCCCAAUCUUAGUUACUUAGGCAAAAGUGAAUUGAUGCAAUUCCAUGAAAUUACACUUUGUGCCCUUGCGAAGACGUUAGUGGAGCGUGUGUGGUUUACCGGCACACUAAAUGGUUCUAAGCAAAGGUAGCAAAGGGUGACUCAAUGUUUGUCAUAGUUCGGUGGAGCGUGUGUGGUUUACCGGCACAUCGAAUAGGUGACUGUAACAUGUGAGGGCACCAUGUAAGUUUGCAUGGUUAUUCACACCCGCUUUGUGAUCCUCGGCAUCCCAGUCACAAACAAGAGGGGCAUAUCGAGAUUUAAACAUGCCAUUGAAAGUUCAAUGAAUCUCAAAGGAUCUAGGAGUUUUCAUAGAUUUAAAACUUAAAUUUCUUUUUCGUUUUUCAUGGUGGAAAUUAGUGAAUCGUCAUUCACUUACCUUCAAAUAUUCUGCAAUUAGGGUUACGGCAUCCCUCUCCCGAGUUGUAGAAUAUUGUGUUGGGUCCUAGCCUUAGUAUCUCAUUUGGGUGAUUUACUAAGGACUCAAUCAAUCAACUAACUUGAAUUCGUUUUCUCCCGUUUUGUAGAUGUCAAAGUUCGACAACUAUGGUCUUCCCAAAUCCCGUGGAACAAGCAUUCCACAUGAAGAUGAUAUUCCACGAUUCGAUCGAGGAACAAGAAAUCAUGCUUCACUUCCUCCUCCUCCUCCAAUUAUUCUCCCUAACCCACAAGUUCAAAGGCUUGAAAAGUUCAAGAUCACUCAAGCCCUUUUGGCAAGUAAACAUAAAGAAGGAAAGUCGGUGUGUGCACACGUCCUAGGGAUGAAGUCACACAUUGAUAGGUUAAGAAUGUUGGGAUCCGUUGUCUGUGAGGAAAUGGCUGUUGAUUGGGUUCUUCAGUCACUUCCUAACUCAUAUAGUGAGUUCGUAAGAGAGUACUAUAUGAUGAACCGCGACGUGACCCUUAUAGAUCUCACCUAUAUGCUUAUUGCUGCUGAAUCAGCAAUGGUUUGGCGCAAUAGAAAAGCAAAGUUGAUUGGUGAAUCUGCCUUCAAGACCUCUAUGGAUAUAGACAAUGGCAACGAAAGACAUGCUAUGAUCGAAAAGUUUGAUCAUAAGAGAAAGGCAAUGUCUGAAGUAGUUCCAUGUCAUGUUCCAAAAGAGUCAAUUUGCUUUUAUUGCCAAGAGAAAGGGCAUUGGAGACGAAGCUGCCCCAUUUACCUAAGAGAUCUAAGAGAUGGGAGAGUCGAAACGUAUGGCUCUAAUAUAGGUAAAAUCCAUUAACUAACUCUUUUAAGCUUCUAUUCUAGAUUCUUAAUACAUAAUGUGAUAAGAUUACAAUUGAUGUUUUGUAGGAUCGAAGAAAAGAAAGGAAGCUUAAGGGAAGAAGUGAGCAGAAUCUAACCGUGAAGGAAUGGAUUUCGAUCGCAUUUCUCGAAGAUUAGAUUCUUGAGCUACUACUUAGAGUUAGAAUUAGAUUGCUAAGAAAGAUGUAUUAGCAUAGUUUUUCAAUGAAUUGCAUUGUAAGGACAAAUUUUUUCCGCAAUAAAAUAAAUUUUGAUUUUAUAUUAUUUAUUUAUCCUUGCAAUGGCGUAUAUGAAAAAUUGAUGUUUGAAUGUUUCUAUUAUUAGCAAUAAUGGAUUUGGUUCUUAUUAUGUUAUUUAUGGAAAGUCGAGAGUUUACCAAAUAGGGAGAGUUUCUCAUCGCCCAAGUUUCAAUUGGACAGAAACUUGGAAUCAUGCAACUUGGUUGCACGAUGAAUGAGAAAUUUCAUAUUUGGAAAUUAGACUAAUUCAUUGACAAAGUGUCAAGUGAAGGACUAGGAGAUCGAGUACACAAAGUUGCGUGUUGAUCAAGUCCACCAUAAGAGUAACAAAGAUAUUCGUCAUGAUUUACUAAAGGUUUAGUAAAUAUGAUUAUACUUACAAGAUUAAGUGUAAUUCUGAAUUGAUUGAAAAAGUUUAAAUCAAUAGCAGAACGAAUAAGAAGAAUCAAGUAGGCAGAAAGAUAAAAGUUUCUCCAUUCUAAGAAGAAGGGAGAGUACCUUUUAUGCUUUAUGAUAGGUCUUAAUGAUUAAGAACCAUAUCUCAAUUGAUCCUCUAAGUGAGUCUUAGUACAAUUGUAUGUCUAAGAAGAGGAAUCAAGAAUUGAAGAAAUGGUUAAAUCAAGAAGUCAAUCAUACUUCGUUCCAAAACAAGUCUUAGAGUUAAGAUUGUGACAUUGAGUGAAAAGUAUUAAGAAGGUUUAUAACAUUCAUCAAAUGUGGAAAGUUGUGAUGUCUUGGAUAAGACAAAGACCAACUAGGACCAAUUUAUGAAGUGUUUUGAUAAAAACUACACUAACUCUUGAAUAUUUGUUUGUCAAGAAAUGUUUAUUGACAAGAGAAUCUUAUAUGUCAAGGAGUCAGUGGGAGUCUUAAUGGUCUUGAAAGGUUUCAAGAACAAAUCAAAAUAAACCUUAUCGAUCAUCACUAGCACACGAGUUGACGUUUACAACCUAUCGUGUUGACACUAUAUUGUUUCUAUGUCGUUCAAAUUGAGUUAAUAAUGCAUGUGAGCCCUAUGAGUUCUCAUUUGAAUGCAUAAAAGGCAAGGACCUUGAUCAAUGAAAAAUACAUUGAUAGGAAAAGGUGAGCUGCUUAACUACUUGGAAGACAUGGUGGGCAGCUGUGUUACCAUAAGGCAAGAAGUCAAGAUUAAGAAAGUUCGGUCCAUAUGAGUUUGAAUUUGUCGUAAACUUUGGUUUUGACAAAUUCACAUGGAUAGGAACACAUACACCAUUAAAAUCUAAGUGUCAUAAGAUUCCCUCCUUCAUGAAAAUGACUGUGAGGAAAUGCUUUCACUAAGAGAGAUUUUAAGAAGAUAGUGAUUGUGAAAAUUGUAUUCUCGAAUUCGAUUAUGGUUACGGUAUCCCUUUCCAUGAUUCGAAUUGUGAGAUUUGGCAAUUAGUUUGAAUUGUUUAGACACACAUAUGAGCUAUCUAAGGGAAAGGUGUAUAAGCUUAGAUAAAGGAUUAUCAAAGCAUUAGGUAUUAGAAACAUGAACUUAAGAAAUUCAAUAAGUAUUGUUUUUCUGGAAGUUAAGCUGGUUUCUGAAUACAUGUCAAAGCUAGUGGGAGCAUAAGUGUUAUGUUUAUAAUAAUCAUCAUGAUAGUGGGAGCAUAAAUGUUAUGAUUGUAUGAUUAUUAAGGCAAGUAUUGCAAGUUAGCAAUAUUAAUUAUAGAAAACAAGAGUUAUACUUUGCAAAGUCGCAAGAGUUGUAAAGUUGUUUUGCUAUAAUUAAGGGAGAGAAUAUUAUGCUUCAUUUCAAAUCUAAAGGCUUAGGUUGUGGAAUGUUAAUAAAUUUAGUCAAGGAUACAUAGUGUGUUCUCAAAUUUCGAUUAUGAUUAUGGCAUCCCUCUUCAUAGUUCGAAUUGUGAGAACGUGACACAUAAAAUAUUAUGGCAGAAGAUUGAUAAAGUAUCAUAUCUUUAUGUAAGACAUUAUGCAUCGUGUCCCAUACGCUUCGGGUAUAGGAUCGAUUGCAAAUGCUAUAAUAUUUGACCAUUCUAAAAUUUUCCAAAUGUCUAGCGCAUUUAGAGGGAAAAAGGACAAGAAUCGGUUUUGACUAAGAUAAUUAAACAACUAUCAAAGGACAAUCCAAAGUUCGCCGAGGAUUGGUCGCUUGUGAGUAGUUGGAAGUAUAGUAUUGGAUGGACCAUAUCGACAUUAUUAUGAAUAGAUAAGAUUCUAUUAAGAAUGAGUUGUCAUAUGGAAAAUAUGGAAAUGUUUCCAUAUUGGGAGUUGGAUAUUGAGAAUCUAUGUCUAGAUUAGAAACUUUUAUGCAAGAAGGAUGUUCAAAGGAAUGUACUUUGAGUGAGAGACAUCAUAUCUAUAGAAUUGUUUCUGAUAGAGAUUGGCCAAGUCUUGAUGAUUUUGAGCUAUGACUUUACGAAAGAAUCAUUGCAUAAAAUGUUAGAAUCUAGCAUAAGUAACAAGAAUUUGAUAUUCUUAUACUUAUGAUAAGGAUUGGGAGUUGUGAAAUGAGUAUGAUUGGAAAUGUGUUCAUUUGAUCUAUUUCACAAAGUAAGGACCAUAGGUAAACAUUGUGUGCAUGCUAAGAGCAUGGGACAAGUGUAGUAAUAAUUCAAGUAAGAAGUUGAUUACCCGAAACAACAAAUAAUGAGUAAUCGAUAUGGUGAUAAAAUAAAAUGUUUUAUUUAUACCCAGAGUUUGGGGCCAUAUGGGAUUAGUAUUAUUCUUGUGUUUCACUUUGCAUGUUUUGACUUCCUGAAUAAUUAAAUUGGUUCAGAACAAUCAAAUUAUUCGAACGGACCACAGUCGUUCAUAUGUUGGAAGUAGGUAUGAAUGAAGACUGUCGUGAAUUGGUGUGUGGAUUGUCUAAAGUGUAUUAGACAUAAGCAAAUGUUUGCUGCAACGUUCAUGAGUGCUUAUGAAUAUGAUUUGAGCAUUGGAUUAAACCCACGCUCACUUGGAUCACUUCAUGGAUUUUAUCACGAGUGAUUGGUGAGACGAUAAUAUCUUAUAUUCUUGAAACCGAGAUGUGUGAGUUGUAUCUUGCGAGUCGGUUACACAUUGAUAAUAUGUAAACGCACCAGUAACUUGGUGUCAUAAAACAUAUUGUUGUGUGUGAUUCGGUGAGUGAGUGCAAGCAAGCAUUGAAUCAAAGUUUAUCCGUUCCUUUUAUCCAAAGUAGGAUGAAAGCGAUAUCUUUGGGCCCCUCGAUGAUUUAGUGAUGACACCCUAAGCGCUUGGCCAAGUCGGGACUAAUUUGAUGUGUUCAAUUGUAGUCUGUUGUCAGUCGUCAUAAAUCGGAAAUCGGGAAACAACACAUAGACAGAGAGAAUGAUUUAAAUCCAUGUCUCAGUCUAUACGAUAUCUAGAAUGGAGGAAUAUAUGAUCCCUUAUCUAAAGGACACGCGUAUCUGAUAAGAUCAGAGUUGACAGCGGCUUUUGAAAGCUACGAUUGCAGAUCAGGAUCUGAAGUCAUACGCAGAAUAGUUAUUAGACUUAUCCAAGUGGGAGACUGUUGGAUUAGUGUCUAAGUCCAUAACUAUUUUGGUAUGUACUUGACCCGAUGGUGCAUGGUCCUUUUGGGUUGCCUUCACCAAAGCAACUUGAUAGGAUGAAUUAUGGAGAGAAAGGAUUAAAUAUGAUUUAUUAAUAUAUUAUGAGAAUAAUAUAUUAAAGGAGAAAUCAUAUUGUUUAAUUAAUAUUAGUCAAGAAUUAAUUGGUAAUUAGUUUUGUGACUAAAAGAGAUUAAUUAAACUUAAGGGACUGGAAUUGUAAUUAUAAGAUAAUUGCAAUUUGGGCCAUGGAUUGCCUUAUAUUAAGGAGUGGACGAAUUCUAUGGGGAAACCCAUAAGAAAUCGUCCAAGGCCUUAAGGAAAGGGAUCCAUGGGUUGCUUAGGGCUUAAGCAUCCAAAUUAGGGUUUCCUUGUUAGAUAACCCUAAUAGCCUCACUAUUUAAAGAGUCCUUAUGCCUCAAAAACGUGGACAAGCUUCCUUUUAGGGUUUCCACACGUUUUGGGCAGCCUCCUUCUCUUCUCUUCUUCAUCCUCUUGCUCUUGGUUUUUGUGAACCAUUAGAGGGGUGACAUUUGUGACUCUAAGCUUUCAAAAGUCAAUACAAGGAGGAAUUGAGAUUGUUAUUGCUACAUAACAAUCAAGGUAUGAUCUAAACCCUAAUUAUAUGUUAUAUUGAUUAUCAUAUGCUAGAUCUAGGGUUUAUAGUCUUGGAUAAAUUGCAUGUACAAUAGAGAGACCUAGAUCCAAGUAUUAGGGUUUGUAUGGGCACAUAGGAUGUUCUUAUGGCUAAAACCCAUCAAUUUCGGUCUUAUCGAAGGAAUUACUAGGGUUUCAUCGGGUAGAUACUCCUUAAGGACAGAGACGUGGGAUACCGGAUGGAUGCUGCUAUGUCCUGAGGGGAGUCGGAGUUUGUAGGCAACAGAAUCAAUCCUAAUGAGGAUUUCGAAAAGUUCUAUGUUCCUUGGGAUACGCGUUUCAGAAUGUAUCACAUCAUCUUUCUCAUUGUUGGCUACCUUGAUGGAGGACGUUUCAGAUACUAGUUGAGGACUAUGUUUAUGAAAAGGUUUGAAUGAAUAGGUAACAGUUUAUCUUUCAGGACUAGGAUUGAAAAAGGAUUGCAAGCAGAAGGGUUAUCGAAGAGGAAUAUACCUGUGGCAAUGGCUGAAACUAAGUUUAUUGUCGUAGAUUAUAAAAGUUUGACCAGGGGGAAGGUUGAGAUGGAUAGAUUUUUCGGAACAAAGGAAUUCAGCACGAUUGAGAUUCAAUCAAUCCAUGCCAAUGAAUGCUUCAAAGCUCUAUCUAUGAGAAGUAGCUGGCUCUCUGAAAUUUGUUGAACAGAGGAGAGUAUAGCGGCGGAGAUCUGUUUCCUUGGGCUAGGUCCUUUCUUUGGAGAUAUCUUGAUUUGAAAAGAUCAGGAAAAAGAGGAUGGUAAGUCCUCUGAAUUGAAUCAAGAGAUAUGAAACAAGGGAUAUCUCUUUAUGACAUUCUAUUAAGCGAUAAAGAAGGAAUGAAUUAUCAAAACAGAUAAAUUAUCGCUAAAGGAAUGAUUGAGGAACAACGUUGGGUUAAGGAUCUCUAUAACGGAUUUGGCUCGAGAAAUAAUCCCAUAGUAUUUCAUGGCUCGCUGCAACGACGACUCAUUAUUUGGGUAUUGGGUAAGUUUUAGGCAUGCCGUACACCACAGUUACUCCCAAGCACAUGUUGGCCGUGUCUCGAAUGAAUAUAGUUGGCCAGGCUAUAUUGAUCCUAGACACGACUACAUAACUGCCCAGGUUUAACCGCAACGUACAACACCCAUUUACUUAUGUUUUGUUCCACUUGUAGUUACGGAUUUCGAUGGUCGGGUAUACUUGUAUACUUUUGAAAAUACUUAUAUUUGAGGUAUACUUUUAGUUCAGAGCAUUUAGGCCCUUUAGUGUUUAUAGUUUUAUACCAUGUAAGGUUUGGUAUACUAGUUCACUGUAAACAAGGGCUCUGAUACCAAUCUGUCACACCCCGAAAACCGAAGGCGGAAACAUUUCCGGGGAGGACUCCACGUUGAGUAUCAAAUCCAAUGUACAUAGUAAGCAAGUAAACAACCAUUACAUUACAUAUUAGAAUUUACAUCUGUUCAAAAGUAAAGUGUUACAAGUGAUGAUACAUAUGUAUAUAUAUAUAUAUAUAUAGAGAGAGAGAGAGAGAGAGAAAAGAAGAGACGAGUCUUCUGUACACUUCGUCUUCUCCAAAAAGGAUCGUUGGGUACCUGUCUAAAAUGGACCUGAGAAUACAAGCAGUUUGAAAAUCAGCAUAAAGCUGGUUAGUUCAUAAGCGGUUUUGUUUUGAAAAAAAUGAGUUCCUUUGUUUUCUGAAAAAGUUGUUAUCCAAUAAAAGCCUAUAUUUUCUUAUGUAAAACAGUUUAGUUAUCAUUUGUUACCAAUUCGAUUACGUGUUGUAUGUUACCCCAGGAAAAUCCCAUAUUUUCCUAAUAGUUUAGUUAUUGAACUCCAAUGUAAUAUUUGAUUAUCUAUUAUACUUGUCAUAUUAGCUAGGUAUUCGGAUAUCUUAAUUGUGUUACACUUGAAUGUACCUAGAUGUGUGCCUUCAUAAUCAUAUUCAUAUUCGUAUUUUAUAUUUGUAUUCGUAUUCUUAUUUAUAUUUGUGCUCCUAUUCAUAUUCGUAUUCGUAUUUGUAUUUGUAUUUGCAUUAGUAUUCGUAUUCCUAGUCCUAUCCCUAAACCUAUUCAUAUUCGUAUUCGUAUUCGCAGUCGUAUUCGCAUUCGUAUUCGUAUUCCUAUUCCUAUUCCUAUUCCUAAUCCUAUUCGUAUUCGUAUUCGCAUUCGUAUCCGUAUUCGUAUUCCUAUUCCUAUUCCUAUUCCUAAUACUAUUCGUAUUCGUAUUUGUAUUCGCAUUUGUAUUCGCAUUCGUAUUCCUACUUUAGUAUUCCUAUUCGUUUUGUUCCUUGUUUAUACUUUCGUAUUCGUUCUAUUCUUGGUUGUACUUUUGUAUUCGCUCUGCUCCUAGUUGUACUUUCGUAUUUGCUCUGUUCCUAGUUGUACUUUCGUAUUCGCUCUGUUCCUAAUUGUACUUUCGUAUUCGCUCAGUUCCUAGUUGUACUUUCGUAUUCGUUCCUUUCCUAGUUGUACUUUCGUAUUCGUUCUGUUCCUAGUUGUACUUUCGUAUUCACUCUGUUCCUAGUUUUACUUUCGUAUUCGCUCUGUUCCUAGUUGUACUUUCGUAUUCGCUCUGUUCCUAGUUGUACUUUCGUAUUCGUUCUAUUCCUAGUUGUACUUCCGUAUUCGCUCUGUUCCUAGUUGUACUUUCGUAUUCGUAUUUGUAUUAGUUCUAAUUGAUGAUUAGUAUGAAUUAUUCGCAGAUUAUGAAAUAGAAUAUAGAUUGUAACACUUUAUCAAGAAAUCUAUGAUUAGUUUGAAAGCUAACUCUGCAAUUCGAACCAUUAGUUAACACGAUUUUUGAUAUGAAAAGUAUACAUAAUGCAAAACAUUUGAACUGAAAAUAAUAAGUUUAAUUACAAGAUUUCCUUGUACUUUUGCUUGUAUUCCCCCCUUGAAAACAUUUGAAAAACACGGAAAAAGGGUAGGGGUAUGAACUCACCGGUUGAGGAAUGCGUCGGUUUGGAUCCUAAACGUCAGUUCUGGGUUUGAAAACACACAAGAUUCCUAUGUAUUAUGAAAAGAUACACAUUUUUAUCUAAUUAGAACUUAAAUUAUUUAUUAGAUGAGAACAUAUGCUUCUAGAUGCGAAAACACUUCAUUGCAAGUGUUUGGAAGGACCCGGGUGGCAUUUGAGGACACAUAAGGCGUGGAUAUGGAGUUUACUCUUCAAGAGUAAACUCUUAGAGGAGUUUUUGGCCCUAAACAACAUAUUCACAUGAGUUCACGGCCGUGAACUCAUGGAUGGGAGUUUUAUGGUGCUAAAUGGCCUUGAAAUACUUAGGGAUUAAAUCUAGGUUUGAGUCUAAUGCAUUGGAAAGGGAUUUAACUCACAUAUGGACCAUUUAUUGGAGUUUACGGUAGUAAACUUGGAGUUUACAGCCGUAAACUCCCCUCAAACUAAAUCCUUGAUGUUUUGGUGGUCCUUAAUUAAUCACAUGUGAUUUCAAGCUAUUUUACAAGUCUAGGGGUAAAAUUUGGGCACCAUUUGACAUAAUUCUAGGAGUUUACGGCCCAAGACUCCUUCUUAUGCCAUGAACUCCUUAGGGGGGUGAUUUCCUUAUGUUUUAGACUUCUAAGUUGUUUGUGGUUGAUUUUAGAAUUUAUUCAAAGGCUAUUGGUGUGUUUAAAUGGCAUUUUAACACUUCAAAAUGAGUUUACUCCCCAUGAUAUGGAGCUUACGGCCCAAGCAUGUUCUUGGGCAGUAAACUCAUGUUUACUCUCCAAAAAUUAAGUUCAAGGUGUUCUAAGUCCAUUUUGGUAAGUCCCUAAGUCAUAUCUAAGCUCCAAAGGUCGAUUGGAAGGGUUUUUGGGCUCCAAAACCCAUUUUAUAUGAGUUCACGGCCUAGGACUGUUCUAGGGCCGUAAACUCAUGAAUAUGGUCCUAUUUCAUGAUUUAAACUCGAAAAUGAAGGCUAAAGAUGAUAUACUAGGAGUUAGGGAAGAUACCUUGAUGAUUAGAAGCCUUAAUUUGAUGAUUUAGGACCCUUAGAGUUGAUUUGAGGAGAGAGGUUGGAGAGAGAGUAGUGAGAGAGAGGAAAGGCUUCAAAUGAAGUCUUUUGAGCUUUAAAUAGGUCCUAAAUUCGGGACAUGGUGGAAUUCUACCCGAUACCGACUUUAAACGGGGCUUUUGGUCGCACCCGAUUAAGUUAUUUUUAUAACUUGACGGAAUAAAACAAUUAUUUUUCAAAUAAAUAAAUUGAAGCGUUUCCAUGUAUUUUUAACGUAUUUGGACAAUUAUUAAGUCAUAAUUACAAACUUAAAAUAAAUGACUUAAUUUAGAAAUGAACGGAAACAAUUUAAGACGACGAAUUUUUAAUGACGUAUCGGGUUACGACGACAGAACGAACUUCGGGUUGUCACAGUUUAGCAUUAUCGAACGUGGCUGGGUUAGAAGACAACACAUUUCCUUGGGUCGGAGUAGUUAGACCCCAAAUGUAUCUUUCUAUCUUCUUGCUCUCCAAGGUAAUCAUCUCGGGGCAUAGAGCUGCUAGUUCGCUGAACCGAUCGGUGUAUGUGACUAUGUCUGAGUCGACCAUAGUGAGAUCCCACAGCUCUUGUUCCAGUUUUUGAAUCUCGCCUAACGGGCAAUAUUCUUCCCGCUUUAACUCUUUCAGGUUUUCCCAAUCUAUUGAGUUUGCCACUGAUAGGGUCAGUGACUUAACAUGGCUAUUCCACCAUGUUAGGGCCUUGCCAUCGAAGGUGCAGGCAGCAAACUUCACUAUUCUUCCUUGUGGGCAUAAACAGAUUUCGAAAACCGACUAGGUUUUCUCGAACCAUUGUAGGAAGGCAAUGACUCCUUCAUUCCCUUUAAAGGACAGUGGUUGGCAUCUGGUGAAGUCCGUGUAGGAGAACUCUCCCUGGCGCAUAGGGACCUCACCUUGAGUAGAAUCAGUAGGCGUUUCCCCUCCACCUGCCCUGAUCGGGAUGAUAUUGUGCCAUGACUGUUGCCACAGCCGCGGCCACUGCAGCGUUCAGAGUUGAUGCAUCGAUUUGUGGAGAAGGUAUUGGAGUUAUCGGAGUAGCGUGUCUGGGUGAUCUGCGAGGAGGCAUCUUUGCUAAAAGAAAACAAAGAUGAGACGGAAUAAGUCUAUAGUAACGGACACAAGCCGAAAGCUGAAAAGACAAGGUUAUCCUAGUUCUGGAUGUAUCGGGUCCUGACUUCCACAGGGUUCUAGGAACAAUUCAUAAAUGAGUCUAUACCAAAUAAACUCUAUGAAUUUGAAAUAACUAUCAUCGAAUGAAUAUCUGUUUCCUGAAUAACUGUUACCAGCUGCAUGUAAGAAAAUAAUUCUAACACAUGUAAUGUGAGCAGUGUUUCCACUCGCUCGAUAAAUUAACCUAAUUAAUAUUUAUUAGUGUGACGCGUAAGACGUUUUGGUUACUUCGGCUGAUCUUUCCUUGAAAUCUUCUUAUGAAUUUGUCCUUGUUCCUCCUGAACUCUUUUGUUGUCUACUAUGAGGAAGUGGUUACGUUUAUCUGGGCUUGUCGUGCGAGAAUGAAAGUGACUAAAGAACCUCUGAGCUUUAAAGUAAUUUUAUGGGGUGAUCCUUACGAAAUCCUCCUACAAUUGUACAAGGUACACCAGUUUGUAUUGUAUAUAAUUGAAUAUCAAAUAGACCUUCGAAUAAUUGAUCCCACCUCAACACUACUUCCUUAAGAGGAAUGGAUAGCGAAGCGUCGGUCAUAGAUUCUAUGUCUAUAAGAUCUUGAUUAUAUAUAAAACUUUAUGAAUAUACCCUGUAAGAUUAUAGACCUAUCCGCAAGGGUCUUUUAAGUUAUCACAUAAGUUAUGUAUCUGGACUAAAAUACUCCUAUAGUAUCCUAACGUAAUGUACUUGUUAUGUUCUAAACUUGUUAUCGCGUUAUCGUAUCAUAGAAUACUCCCAUAGUACUCUAACACUAACUGUACUUGUUCUAGUGUUCUCUUGACUGCUGUUCUGGUAAGUUUUAACCCUGUUGUAACACCACAUCAUUCCCAAACACAUGUUGGUCACAUCUCGAAUGAAUAUAGUUGAUCAGGCUAUAUUGAUCCUAGCUAUGAUUACAUAACUGUUCGGGUUGACGACAGUGCCCAACCUUUAAAUACUUUUAGUUUUGUUCUCCUCAUGAUCCUAGUCCUAUUAUGUACAUGUAUGAGCAAGUAGGUAUAUUUUUAUAACUUGUAGCUAUACUCUAAAAUAUAUCAUUAUCCAGAGCACUUAAGCCCCAUUGUAUUUAUAGACGUAUAUCUUUUAUCGGUUGAUAUACUUAGUUCACUAUAAACAAUGCUCUGAUACCAAUCUGUCACACCCCAAAACCAGAACGGCGGAAACGUUCGGGGGUGGAGGACGUCAUGUCUAGUAUCACGAGAUAUGUAUAUGGUAAGCAAGUAAUGAACAACCAUUUCAUUUAGAAAGAAAGUGUUUACAAUGUAUGUGUUCACAAAACAUAGAAGUCAUAAACAAAUAACAAAACAAGACUUGAAGCUAUAAUGCUCCAUCUUCUGAAGUCCCAGCACGAGCACCUGUCUAAUAGUCUCCUGAGAAUACAAGUUAUUUGAAAGAGUUGAUCAGCAAUUAAGCUGGUGAGUUCAUAAGAUUUUACUGAUGUGGGUAAGCUGUAAAGAUGUGUUUGAAAAUGUAUAAGCACAAGUGAUGUAAGCUGUAAGUUCUGUUUUGAAAUGAUCGCCUGAUCCUCUACAAAAUCCUAUAUUUCCUACUUCAAUGGAAGUUAAGUAAAAUGACACUACAAGCCUUUCUAUGCAUACUAAGUGGGUACAAGUUAUAUAUACUUAGAGUAAAUAAACAAUCGAUUGUGCGCAUCUGCCCUAAACUCACAACCCAACGGGGAACAACAAGUAAGGCGGAUAGCACACAUUCCAUUGGUUGUUAGAUCGUUGUCAUAUAUAACCUUGGUGUAUUCACUUGUUACUCAUGGAGUUAUUUGUAAUGGUUCCUUUAUAUCUAAUGGAGAGUUCNNNNNNNNNNNNNNNNNNNNNNNNNNNNNNNNNNNNNNNNNNNNNNNNNNNNNNNNNNNNNNNNNNNNNNNNNNNNNNNNNNNNNNNNNNNNNNNNNNNNNNNNNNNNNNNNNNNNNNNNNNNNNNNNNNNNNNNNNNNNNNNNNNNNNNNNNNNNNNNNNNNNNNNNNNNNNNNNNNNNNNNNNNNNNNNNNNNNNNNNNNNNNNNNNNNNNNNNNNNNNNNNNNNNNNNNNNNNNNNNNNNNNNNNNNNNNNNNNNNNNNNNNNNNNNNNNNNNNNNNNNNNNNNNNNNNNNNNNNNNNNNNNNNNNNNNNNNNNNNNNNNNNNNNNNNNNNNNNNNNNNNNNNNNNNNNNNNNNNNNNNNNNNNNNNNNNNNNNNNNNNNNNNNNNNNNNNNNNNNNNNNNNNNNNNNNNNNNNNNNNNNNNNNNNNNNNNNNNNNNNNNNNNNNNNNNNNNNNNNNNNNNNNNNNNNNNNNNNNNNNNNNNNNNNNNNNNNNNNNNNNNNNNNNNNNNNNNNNNNNNNNNNNNNNNNNNNNNNNNNNNNNNNNNNNNNNNNNNNNNNNNNNNNNNNNNNNNNNNNNNNNNNNNNNNNNNNNNNNNNNNNNNNNNNNNNNNNNNNNNNNNNNNNNNNNNNNNNNNNNNNNNNNNNNNNNNNNNNNNNNNNNNNNNNNNNNNNNNNNNNNNNNNNNNNNNNNNNNNNNNNNNNNNNNNNNNNNNNNNNNNNNNNNNNNNNNNNNNNNNNNNNNNNNNNNNNNNNNNNNNNNNNNNNNNNNNNNNNNNNNNNNNNNNNNNNNNNNNNNAUAUAUAUAUAUAUAUAUUCGGGUAGAUAAUAGAUUGGGGGAACUCGGUUCAAGACCACAUCAAACGAGAACAGGAAAUGAAGCGAAGGCGUGUAAGUAUUCUAUAGUGUAUACAUUAAAGCUAGCACUAUAAUCCUAACCUUUAAUCGUAGCCUUCUACCAAGGCAUCUUCUGAUCUGAGUUAAACCUGACUGUUCCUUUGUCAAAUGUAAAGUAUAUUCUCCCUGGUUUAUAACUAUCUUGACUAGAAAAUAGAUCAACUUUCAAGUGUUACCGACACUUUACGAAAGUAAUGGGGGAAGUAAGUACACAGAUGUCGUUUAUAAUGACAUGCGGAUGCACUAUUAACCUAAAAACAUAUUUGUUUUAUUACGGUCAUAAUGUGAAAGCUAGAAUCUCUUACUAAACGCUCUUAAUGUAAAGAGAUUGAGGGAACCAAAC
rnacentral:lncRNA from 1 species